AGAGUUUGUAUCCUGGCUCAGGAUGAACGCUGGCGGCGUGCUUAACACAUGCAAGUCGAACGGACCCAUAUUGAAACCUGGUGAUAUAUGGGUUAGUGGCGGACGGGUGAGUAACGCGUGGGCAACCUGCCUUACACAGGGGGAUAACACUUAGAAAUAGGUGCUAAAACCGCAUAAGCGCACAGCUUCGCAUGAAGCGGUGUGAAAAACUCCGGUGGUGUAAGAUGGACCCGCGUCUGAUUAGCUUGUUGGCGGGGUAACGGCCCACCAAGGCGACGAUCAGUAGCCGGCCUGAGAGGGCGGACGGCCACAUUGGGACUGAGACACGGCCCAGACUCCUACGGGAGGCAGCAGUGGGGAAUAUUGCACAAUGGGGGAAACCCUGAUGCAGCGACGCCGCGUGAGUGAAGAAGUAAUUCGUUACGUAAAGCUCUAUCAGCAGGGAGGAAAAUGACGGUACCUGAGUAAGAAGCCCCGGCUAACUACGUG
rnacentral:rRNA from 1 species